rnacentral:rRNA from 1 species
AACCUGGUUGAUCCUGCCAGUAGUCGUAUGCUUGUCUCAAAGAUUAAGCCAUGCAUGUCUAAGUAUAAACUGCUUUAUACUGUGAAACAGCGAAUGGCUCAUUAAAUCAGUUAUAGUUUAUUUGAUGGUACCUACUUACUCGGAUACCCGUAGUAAUUCUAGAGCUAAU